rnacentral:rRNA from 1 species
GUGAAUCAUCGAGUCUUUGGACGCACAUUGCACUCCUUUGGAGUAUGCCUGUUUGAGAAUCUAUAGUAUUCAUUUUUGUCUAUGCUUUUUCGGAAGUAUAGGCAAGAGAUUUGAGUCUCCCAACUGGGUUUCUUGAAAUAGAUUGCCUCUGUCUAGUAAAAAGCGACGACGUUUUUCAUACCCUGCAGAAAAGUAUUUGGAUGGAACCCUGGUUUCUUAUGAUGCUGAAUAAGUAGGAGAAAGAAAGAGUUUUUACGGUCAUUAGGUUCAUUAACCAUAAAGCUUCGAGCUUUGAACCAUGGUCUCAAAUUCAGGUAGGAAGACCCGCUGAAUUAAGCAUAUCAAUAAGCGGACGGU